UUCUUACGUCUGGCCUGCCCACUGAUUUUUAAUGGCCGCGGUAUAUUGACCGUGCAAAGGUAGCAUAAUCAUUUGUCUCUUAAUUAGAGGCUGGAAUGAAUGGUUUGAUGAGAAAAAUACUUUAUUAUUUUAAAUUAUUGAACUUAAUUUUUGAGUCAAAAAGCUUAAAUUUAUUUAUGGGACGAGAAGACCCUAUAGAACUUUACUUUUUAUAUUAUUUUUUAUUUUGGAUUUUGAGUUAAAAUUUAAUUUAAAAAAGUUUAAUUGGGGCGAUUUUGAGAAUUAAUAAACUCUCAAAUUUUUAUUUCAUUAAUUGUUGUUUUUUUGAUCCAGUAUUAUUGAUUGUUAGUUUAAGUUACCUUAGGGAUAACAGCGUAAUUUAUUUAGAGAGUUCAUAUCGAUAAAUAAGAUUGCGA
rnacentral:rRNA from 1 species